rnacentral:rRNA from 1 species
CCUACGGGUGGCAGCAGUGAGGAAUAUUGGUCAAUGGGCGGAAGCCUGAACCAGCCAAGUAGCGUGCGGGAUGAAGGCCCUACGGGUCGUAAACCGCUUUUGCACGGGGAUAACACCCUCCACUUGUGGAGGUCUGCAUGUACCGUGCGAAUAAGGGCCGGCUAAUUCCGUGCCAGCAGCCGCGGUGAUACGGAAGGCCCGAGCGUUAUCCGGAUUCAUUGGGCUAAAAGGGAGCGUAGGCGGGCGUUCAAGGCAGCGGUAAAAGCCCGGGGCUCAACCGCGCCCCGCAGUUGAAACUGGAUGUCUUGAGUGCACAACAGGCAGGCGGAAUUCGUGGUGUAGCGGUGAAAUGCAUAGAUAUCACGAGGAACCCCGAUUGCGAAGGCAGACUGCCGGGGUGCGACUGACGCUGAGGCUCGAAGGUGCGGGUAUCAAACAGGAUUAGAUACCCUAGUAGUC